AUCCAGCUGACGAGUCCCGCAUAGGACAAAACUUGCGUCCUGGGU
rfam:Schistosoma haematobium scaffold281_7, whole genome shotgun sequence.